UUUAAGGAGACUUCCCAAGACUACAGGCAGCAUGAAAGGAAGCAUUCCUCCAUACUUAUUUGAAAGCUGAACAAGCAGGGUGGUAAAGGAAGAAAUCUCAGAUGACAAUGCAAAGCUACCGUGCUUCAAUGGAAGAGUGGUGUCCUGGCUGGUCCUGGCUGAAAGCUCUCACUCUGACACAGGUUCCCAGUGCACCGAGAGCCACACGGACCUCCCGCCUCCCCUCGAGAGAACGGGCGGCAUCGGAGACUC